UACAGAGGUGGCAAGCGUUGUUCGGAAUUACUGGGCGUAAAGGGCGCGUAGGCGGCCUGGUCAGUCGGGUGUGAAAGCCCGGGGCUCAACCCCGGAACGGCAUCCGAGACGGCCAGGCUGGAGACCGGGAGAGGAGAGUGGAAUAGCCAGUGUAGAGGUGAAAUUCGUAGAUAUUGGCUGGAACACCGGUGGCGAAAGCGGCUCUCUGGCCCGGUUCUGACGCUGAGGCGCGAAAGCGUGGGGAGCAAACGGG
rnacentral:rRNA from 1 species